UUCAGCUUGCUUCAGAUUCCAGAGGAGGUGGCUCAGGGAGCCGAGGCCAAGGGUGGGACCACUGAGGACCUGCCUGUGACCCUUGACACCUGGCUGGAGCUGCUAGGAGCAGGAGCCCUGGGAGAACAAGGCUGUGAGCUGGAUGAGACAUUGGAAAGGAAGAGGAGAGAUACGGCCGAGCAAAGGUGGGGGAUGGCCGGACAGCACCAGGGUGUGGCGAGCAUUUGGUCCAGGCUUAGGGAAAGAAGGGAGGAGAGUCAUCCACUUAUCCUGUGACACAGCUUUGUUUUCAUUCAGACCAGGAACCUGAGGUUUACAGACUUUCGGAUGGUUGGAUCUCUACCUAGUAAGUAGAGAGGCUCCAGACCCAGGCAGUGUGGCUUCCUCUAACCACUACCCCAUCCUACCUCCUCACUGUGACCACCUUCAGGGACACUGUGUUCAUAGCAGCUGACUAGAAAGGAUCAUGGCUUAGCUCACAAGUCCCUGUGGGGCCAGGAGCAGCAGCAGGGUCGCUCCCUCAGGAGGUUUCCACCCAGGUGAGAUGCCCCAGGGGGUUGUGGGCAGCCAGGGAUGGCUGAGCUUAGGAGUCCCCCAGGACCCUGUGCCCCUCAACCUUCAGGGGCCCAAGGCUGGGAGAAUGAAAGCGCUUUUCACGGAAUUCCAACAGGAAACCCACGAGAACAUUCCUGCCCAAACGAUUCCAACAGGAAAACCACAAGAACAUUCUUGCUGGCAGUUCCAGCUGGGAGCUGGAGUCCAUGUUCCCUGCUAAGGAGGCUGAUCAGCGGAGAGGAGGCUCGGAGGAGAGGACUCGUUCCACCCAAGAUAGAUCUAGAGACUCCCUGACCUCUGACCUUCUGGAACUCAGGCUCCCAGGGUAGGGGAAGGUCAUGUGGGAAUUGGCCUGCCCAGUUCCUCGUGUCACUGCCUGUGCUCAGUUGGCUGUCCAGGACACUGCACGUUCCCUUCAAAUGUCCAUCUGUAGGUGAUGGCCCCCACCCCUCCAGGGCCUCCGACCAGUGUGAGGAUCUGUGAGUGGGGAGAAACCUGCCUUGAACUUAGCUGCCUGUGGAGACCAGUCAUUAGCAGCAAACAUGGCGCCCCACUGGCUGCCCCGUGCCCACUGCAUUUCUGCUGUGUCUGCCUUGAGUGAUCUGGCCGGGAGAAAGUUCCUUGCAGCAAGGAAGGGAGGGAGCACUGCAGGAGAAAUACCUCAUCCCAGGAGUCACCGAAGCUGCUCCCACACAGGUGCCAGAGCCCCUCGUUCCUGAACACCACCAACUAAUGAGAGCCAGUGGCCGCUGCAUAGUGGGAAGGGAGUCGCAAUCAGGGUUCACAUAGGCCCUACAAGCCAAUUUGUUUUUUUCCAGUACCAGGAAUCGAACUCACGACCUUGUGCUUGCCAGGCAGGCGCUGUGCCGCUGAGCUAAAUCCCCAGCCCCUACAAACCAAUUUUUCAAGGGCAGCAGCUUCACCAGAAAAUUGUUCAAUGCUGGCAAACUCAGCCAAGGUGGGAAUAUUUACACCGUGGAAAUUGGCAAAGGCAACAAACCAAGGCUCUGUUUCUUCCUUAGUGAGCCAGCACUCCAGCUAGACUGGGGGAAGCUAAGACCAGGGUUCUUGCCUUUGCUCCACCAGGUGGCUCUAGGCCUUUGUUUCCUUCUGUAGUGGGUUUUCUCAACCCCACCUACCUCAAAGGACGACUGGGCCUAAACAAGGAACUGCAGCUGGAUGUGCCUGUACAGGACAAAGCCUUGCAGAGUGACGGACCAUUGCUAUGGAUUUCCUAGAGCUUCCUGGAUGUCUGAUCUAAAUUUAGGUGCUUGUAGUCUGAGCUAAAUCCCAGCCACUGCCUUUCCUUCCUUCCUGCAGGCGCUCUGUCAGCAGCCACAGGAAGUCCCUGCUGGAAGGCCCUCUGCCCUUUGUUCUUUGGCCUCCAAGUUUGCAUGCAUGCUCUCUGGCCAGACUCGGUCCCCUCAGAUAUUCUCUGUGAGAACCUAGCUGGUGUCCAGACUGCCCCAUCCCCACCCAAGGCCAUUCCCUCCUUAUCCGUAGUCAUGCCCAUGCUUUGCUCAGCCGCUGCCUGGGAUAGCUUGUCCUUCCACAGCAGGACUCCUCAGGCCAACCUCUCUGGGUUUCAUCUCUACUUGGAGGAUGACAUCUGCUCACCAACCUUCACAGGGCCUACAACAAAGUCUGUGUGUAUUUCUGGUGUUGAACAAUGCAGUCAAGAGGGCCUGAAACUUCUGCAUGGGAUCAGCAACUCUUACCGUUGAUCUUGAUAAAAAAUAAAUCCCAAGGGCCAGUCUGAUCCCCUUCAUCAGAGUGUGGCCUCCCAAGUUGCUCAA